GUGCUCGCUUCAGCAGCGCAUAUACUAAAAUUGGAACGAUACAGAGAAGGUUAGCAUGGGCCCUGUGCAAGGAUGACAUGCAAAUUCGUGAAGUGUUCCAUAUUAAA
rnacentral:snRNA from 1 species